rnacentral:rRNA from 1 species
AUUGAACGCUGGCGGCAGGCCUAACACAUGCAAGUCGAGCGAGCGGGGGACGGGUGAGAAAUGUAUGGGGACUGCCCGAUAGCGGGGGAUAAAUACUGGAAACGGUGGCUAAUACCGCAUACGGUCGGAUCACCACUAUGGGAUUAGCUAGUAGUUAAGGUAAUGGCGUACCUAGGCGAAGAUCCCUCGCUGGUCUGAGAGGAUGAUCAGCCACACUGUGACUGAGCCACGGCCCAGACUCCUACGGAGGCAGCAGUGGGGAAUAUUGCACAAUGGGCGCAAGCCUGAUGCAGCCAUGCCGCGUGUAUGAAGAAGGCCCUAGGGUUGUAAAGUACUUUCAGUCGGGAGGCGUUACCGACAGAAGAAGCACCGGCUAACUCCGUGCCAGCAGCCGCGGUAAUAC